rnacentral:lncRNA from 1 species
AAAAAAUGCAAUGAAUGGGUAGGUCCUGUAAUAGAGGCUGUCCUGGGUGAAGGCCUGGGAAAUAUGAACUGACAGUGGCAAAUGAGGGUAAAUUGAUAAGAUACAAGUUUUGCCUUGAUUCAGUCCACAUAAUUAAAGGACCCCUCCAAGAGUUGUUGCCAGGGUUCAUAACCUGUAAAGAGUGAGGCACUCUCUUUACACACGGCAUAAGAGUUAACAUCCCAAUUAUAACC